GCCUCUCUGGCCGGGCUGUUGGUUGUGGCUUCUACUGCCUGGUGUCGUAUUUUCUGCCUGACACUACCACGAAGACAAAAAGAAAAAAAUCACCGCGACGCGACAGUAAAACCUGGUGAAGCCCCGACCCACCCGAGCCACGCCCGCCCUUCCGCCGUCCCUCUGCCGCCACACAUGCCGUCUGCUGCGCCCCAUUCUGCCCCGCCAUGGCGAGCGUGGCGUGUGUGUCCCUCAUGGCUUGGAAGUGAAUGGCUGAAAGUCAAAUGAGUGAGUGGAUAGUGCUGUUAUUAUUUCUAUUACAAUGUUACAGAUACUGUAUAGAUCGAAACAUUGACGAAUAAACGAAAGGAAACUCAAUCACCGUUAUUAAAUUUAUGUUAAGGUGGAAAUAAAGUCUUUUCUCCUGUU